rnacentral:rRNA from 1 species
GUUUCUUGGGGAAGGUUCGUCCGCCCAAGGUAAGCCGGGAGCUAAGGCGAGGCCGAAAGGCGUAGUCGAUGCACAUACGGUUGAAAUUCCGUAGCCACCUUAUCGUUAAAAGCUGACACAUAGAGAUAGCCGAACCCGGGCGUUGGUUGACCCGGGCGAAAGGGACCGAACUACAGUAGGGAAGUCGGCGAUGCUCUGUGGCGAGAAAAGGCGAAGAUAGGGUGCCCGUACCGCAAACCGACACAGGUAGAUGAGGAGAGAAUCCUAAGGCCAACGGGAGAAAGGUUGUUAAGGAACUCGGCAAAAUUGCCCCGUAACUUCGGGAGAAGGGGCGCCCUCGAAAGAGGGCCGCAGUGAAAAGGCCCAAGCGACUGUUUACCAAAAACACAGGUCUCUGCUAAAUCGAAAGAUGACGUAUAGGGGCUGACGCCUGCCCGGUGCUGGAAGGUUAAGAGGAGGACUUAGCGCAAGCGAAGGUCUGAAUUUAAGCCCCAGUAAACGGCGGCCGUAACUAUAACGGUCCUAAGGUAGCGAAAUUCCUUGUCAGGUAAGUUCUGACCCGCACGAAUGGCGUAACGAUCUGGGCACUGUCUCAACAGCCCGCCCGGCGAAAUUGUAGUACCGGUGAAGAUGCCGGUUACCCGCAACUAGACGGAAAGACCCCAUGGAGCUUUACUGCAGCUUAAUACUGAGAUUCGGUAAUUCAUGUACAGGAUAGGUGGGAGACUUAGAAACAGGGUCGUCAGGCACUGUGGAGUCACCCUUGGGAUACCACCCUUGGAUUGCUGGGUUUCUAACCUGCGGCCAUGAAUCUGGUCGGGGGACACUGUUAGGCGGGCAGUUUGACUGGGGCGGUCGCCUCCUAAAAAGUAGCGGAGGCGCUCAAAGCUUGGCUCAGCAUGGAUGGAAAUCAUGCAAUGAGUGUAAACGUAUAAGCCAAGUUGACUGCGAGACCGACGGGUCGAGCAGGUACGAAAGUAGGAGUUAGUGAUCCGGUGGUAUGUGAGUGGAAAUGCCAUCGCUCAACGGAUAAAA